rnacentral:rRNA from 1 species
UGACCGCUGGCGGCGUGCCUAAUACAUGCAAGUCGAGCGAACAGACGAGGAGCUUGCUCCUCUGACGUUAGCGGCGGACGGGUGAGUAACACGUGGAUAACCUAUCUAUAAGACUGGGAUAACUUCGGGAAACCGGAGCUAAUACCGGAUAAUAUAUUGAACCGCAUGGUUCAAUAGUGAAAGACGGUUUUGCUGUCACUUAUAGAUGGAUCCGCGCCGCAUUAGCUAGUUGGUAAGGUAACGGCUUACCAAGGCAACGAUGCGUAGCCGACCUGAGAGGGUGAUCGGCCACACUGGAACUGAGACACGGUCCAGACUCCUACGGGAGGCAGCAGUAGGGAAUCUUCCGCAAUGGGCGAAAGCCUGACGGAGCAACGCCGCGUGAGUGAUGAAGGUCUUCGGAUCGUAAAACUCUGUUAUUAGGGAGGAACAAAUGUGUAAGUAACUAUGCACGUCUUGACGGUACCUAAUCAGAAAGCCACGGCUAACUACGUG